CGGGGAAUUUUGGACAAUGGGCGAAAGCCUGAUCCAGCAAUGCCGCGUGUGUGAAGAAGGCCUUCGGGUUGUAAAGCACUUUUGUCCGGAAAGAAAUCCUUGGCUCUAAUACAGUCGGGGGAUGACGGUACCGGAAGAAUAAGCACCGGCUAACUACGUGCCAGCAGCCGCGGUAAUACGUAGGGUGCAAGCGUUAAUCGGAAUUACUGGGCGUAAAGCGUGCGCAGGCGGCUUGCUAAGACCGAUGUGAAAUCCCCGGGCUCAACCUGGGUACUGCAUUGGUGACUGGCAGGCUAGAGUAUGGCAGAGGGGGGUAGAAUUCCACGUGUAGCAGUGAAAUGCGUAGAGAUGUGGAGGAAUACCGAUGGCGAAGGCAGCCCCCUGGGCCAAUACUGACGCUCAUGCACGAAAGCGUGGGGAGCAAACAGGAUUAGAUACCCUGGUAGUCCACGCCCUAAAACGAUGUCAACUAGUUGUUGGGGAUUCAUUUCCUUAGUAACGUAGCUAACGCGUGAAGUUGACCGCCUGGGGAGUACGGUCGCAAGAUU
rnacentral:rRNA from 1 species